GCCGCAAGGUUAAAACUCAAAUGAAUUGACGGGGGCCCGCACAAGCGGUGGAGCAUGUGGUUUAAUUCGAUGCAACGCGAAGAACCUUACCUGGUCUUGACAUCCACAGAACUUUCCAGAGAUGGACUGGUGCCUUCGGGAACUGUGAGACAGGUGCUGCAUGGCUGUCGUCAGCUCGUGUUGUGAAAUGUUGGGUUAAGUCCCGCAACGAGCGCAACCCUUAUCCUUUGUUGCCAGCGAUUAGGUCGGGAACUC
rnacentral:rRNA from 1 species